ACUAAAUUUCUAACCAUGGCCUCAAAGUACCAGUUUCAAAUUUGAGUGCUGUAGUAACUACAUAAAUUAAGGUGUGGGCACUUGAGCUCCUGCUGGCACCUUCUCCAGCUGUGCUGUACCCUGCUCCCCUUCAGACGUGUCCAGCACUGAGGGAAGCAGGUCCU